CCAACAAUCUAGCCCCCCACCAACCAAUAUCACAAUCAAACCUCAGCCCAUUAAUUAAACCAUUUUAACAACCUAGUAAAGGAGAUUGAAACUUUAUAAGGAGCUAUAUUUUAGUACCGCAAGGGAAAGAUGAAAUAAAAGUGAAAAAAAUAUAAAGCACAAAAAAGUAGAGACGCACCCUCGUACCUUUUGCAUCAUGGUUUAACUAGUCCAAUCAAGCAAAAAGACUUAAAGUUUGACCCCCCGAAACUAAGUGAGCUACUUCAGGGCAGCUUUUUGAGCCAACCCGUCUCUGUUGCAAAAGAGUGGGAAGACCUCCAAGUAGAGGUGACAGACCUACCGAACUUAGUGAUAGCUGGUUGCUUGAGAAAAGGAUUUUAGUCCAACCUAAAACUACUUAAAUUUCUACAAAUCUUCCGCCUAGUUUUAGAGAAAUUCAAAUAAGGUACAGCCUAUUUGAAUUAGGAUACAACCUAAACCUGAGGGUAACUUUUUCCAUGCCCGGUUAAGUUGGCCUAAAAGCAGCCACCUUUAAAAUAGCGUCACAGCUUAGUCGCAUCCUUAAUUUAAUCCCUAAAGCCUAUACGAACCCCACUACAGUACCAAGCAAUUCUAUAUCUAUAUAGAACUUUUUAUGUUAAAACUAGUAACAAGAAGAUACAGCUUCUCUUUAAUGCAAGCAUACAUCAGUCAGGACAAACCACUGAUAUUUAACAUACAUGACCCUACAGUAGAAACACUACAAGAAAACCCUACUAAACCAUAUGUUAAUCUAACCCAAGAGCAUUACAAGAAAGAUUAAAAGAAAGAGAAGGAACUCGGCAAAUUUUAACCCCGCCUGUUUACCAAAAACAUCGCCUCUUGUAUACCUAUAAGAGGUCCAGCCUGCCCAGUGACUCUGUUCAACGGCCGCGGUAUCCUAACCGUGCGAAGGUAGCGUAAUCACUUGUUCUUUAAAUGAGGACUAGUAUGAAUGGCACCACGAAGGUUAUACUGUCUCCUCUCUCUAAUCAGUGAAACUAAUCUCCCCGUGAAGAAGCGGGGGUAAUUAUAUAAGACGAGAAGACCCUAUGGAGCUUUAAACUAAGAAUCAACUGCUUAUUCCCCUACAAAUUUCAGAAAACUAACUUUUACCAAAGCACUCUGAUUUCUAGUUUUAGGUUGGGGUGACCACGGAGUAAAAACCAACCUCCGCAAUGAACAGGGAUCUUCCCUUAACCAAGGGCCACAACCCUAAGAAUCAAUACAUUGACAUCAAUUGAUCCAAAAAAUUUGACCAAUGAACCAAGUUACCCUAGGGAUAACAGCGCAAUCCACUUCAAGAGCUCCUAUCGACAAGUGGGUUUACGACCUCGAUGUUGGAUCAGGGUAUCCUAGUGGUGCAGCCGCUAUUA
rnacentral:rRNA from 1 species